rnacentral:tRNA from 1 species
GUUGUUGUGGCCGAGUGGUUAAGGUGGUGGACUGGAAAUCCAUUGGGGUCUCCCCGCGCAGGUUCGAAUCCUGCAGUCAACG